rnacentral:rRNA from 1 species
GACGAAGGAUGCAAGCGUUAUCCGGAUUCAUUGGGUUUAAAGGGAGCGUAGGUGGCCCGGUAAGUCAGUGGUGAAAUCUUCUCGCUUAACGAGAAAACUGCCAUUGAUACUGCUGGGCUUGAGUACAGAUGCUGUGGGCGGAAUAUGACAUGUAGUGGUGAAAUACAUAGAGAUGUCAUAGAACACCGAUUGCGAAGGCAGCUCACAAAACUGUAACUGACACUGAGGCUCGAAAGUGCGGGGAUCAAACAGG